CCGUCGCCGCCGCGAACAUUUGCGAUGCCGCGCCGGUAGUUCCCGACCUGCGGUCCGCGGGGCCAUAAACCGCCCGGGCUACAACGAAAUCGAAAACGGUAUUUUCGCGCGCAUCAACACCGGUGUUUGGGUGUCGGAAAUCAAUCACGGGGUUCGCUUUAACAUUUAUCCGCGUCAGCGCGUGCUACUAUUAUUAUUACCCGUUGAACGGCGAAAAAAACCAAAAAAAAAACCGCAAAAAUCAAAGGUCGUUGCA